UCAGCACUGUUCUAUACCUUUAUGUAGAAAAAGAAGGGAAGAAACUACUUACAUGUAGAGUACAUAUAAUGGAUUUUCACUAUCAUAAUUUUGUUUGAAGCACAUAAGCAAGGAACCCUGAUCUUGAUCAUUAAUUUGCUGGACCAGUCACUUGCUUAUUGCAAUUCAUGGCUUAAAUCUUAUAAAAGGAGUAAAAACACCAAACACAAUCUUCUUUUAAGCACAAUAGCAAGGGACUCUUGUCUUAAUUAUUAGUUUUCUGAAUGUAGUAUCUGUUUUAUUGAAAUUUGUAGCCUGAAUCUCAUAGAGGGGGUAAAGAGAUUGGAGUUCAAGAAAUGUCAGAUACCAGCCACUGGUUAUUGGACCGAUCAGCUCUACCUAACAAUGAACCCAUUAGGGGUUUACAAUUCAAUGGCAUGGAUGAUCUUCUCCACCUCUGUAAAGGAUUUGCUUUGAUGUUGAAGCCUGGUGGCAAUUCUGCUUUCUUACCUUCUAGUUGGGUUAAUUGAGGCCAACCAAACCCAUUUUAGCAGAUUUAAUAUAGUUGGAUUAAGGCUUUAUUAAGUUGGACUAAGUUGUUUGAUCAUGCACUUUUGUUUGAGAAGAGAAGAGGAUAAAUAAAUAAAUAAUGCAUCUAACUUUUGCUUUUCUAUAUGGAUAUUACAAGCUUUUUUGUAUUUUGGUUUUAAACCCAAUCUGGUAUGGAAUUAGAGUGUUGAGCAGAAGAAACAUGUCAAAAAAAAAGUGUGGUAGAUACGUGACAUGUCUGGAGUUAAAUAGGUAAAAUGGAUAAAAUAAUAUACAUCCUUUGUACCCUUCUUGUUCUGAUAUUGCUGAUCAGCUCGAUAGGAUUUUCUGUGAAGACAAAGUUUGGGAUGUCAGACUGGUGGUACUUGCAACUAGAAGAUACUACAAAUUUGUAUAAUCCAUCAAAGCCUAUGUUGUCAGUAGUGAAGGUCUUGCAAGCAAUGUUCAUUAACCAAGACAUAAACAUGUAUGAUGAGGAGACGAGCAAUCCUGCUGAAGCUCGUACAUCAAAUCUGAAUGAGGAGCUCGGCCAGGUUGACACUAUUCCUUCUGAUAAGAUGGGCACUUUAACAUGCAAUCAAAUGGACUUCCUCAAGUGUUCCAUAUCUGGUGUUGUCUUUGGUAUGGGUUCUAGUGAAGCUGAAAUAGUUGCACGGAUGGGAAUUGGUUGAAAGAACCCAAUUCAGACACCAUAUUGUUGUUCUUUCGGAUACUGGCACUUUGCCACACAACAAUUCUUGAGCUAAAUGAGGAAACUGGCAGCUUCAACUAUGAGGCUGAAUCACUAGAUGAGGGAGCUUUUCUUGUUGCAGCUAGAGAGUUUGGUUUUGAAUUCUCUAAACGGACUCAGACAAGUGUCUUCAUUCAAGAAAGAUAUCCUUCUUCUAAGCACCUGAUUGAAAGGGAGUUCAAAAUUCUAAAUCUGUUGGAGUUUAGUAGCAAGUGGAAGUGGAUGUCUGUUAUUGUUCAGGAUGAAAAUGGAGAGAUUCUUCUUCUGUGCUAAGGUGCAGACAGCAUAAUUUUUGACCGGUUAGCCAAAAAUGGAAGAACAUAUUUGGAGGAGAAAAGUAGGCAUCUGAGUGAAUAUGGAGAAGCAGGUUUGCGGACUUUGGCACUUGCAUAUAGAAAGCUAAAAGUGGCUGGGUAUUCUAAUUGGAACAGUGAAUUUCUCAAGGCAAAGACUAAUGUAGGUAGUGGUAGAGAGGUGAUGCUUGAACAGGUAUCAGAUAAGAUGGAAAAAAAUUUAAUUCUUGUAGGUGCUACUGUUGUGGAGGACAAACUACAAAAGGGGGUAAGCUUGUCUUUCUCUUUUGGAGUCUAUAAAGAGUGCAACUUGGGCAGGUU